CCCAUGUUCACAUAAUAUACUGUGUUCCAGGCUGCAAUCAAUCCCACAGAAAGAUUACAGCCAAUGCUACAUUCAACAUUAUAGUCAGUGCUAUGGGACAAGUCUACAAUCGGAUCCUCAGUCAAGAUGACAGUCAUUGCUACAUUGAAAACUACAAAUACAGAUUUUUGAAUAUUCUGAUAACUAGAACCAAGCUUUCAACUACACCUGAAAAGUGUUUAAUACCACGGUAAUAAUGUUGUGAG